GAUGAACGCUAGCUACAGGCUUAACACAUGCAAGUCGCGGGGCAGCAUGGGGGUUGCUUGCAACUCCCGAUGGCGACCGGCGCACGGGUGAGUAACGCGUAUCCAACCUGCCCUUCACCACGGGAUAACCCGGCGAAAGUCGGACUAAUACCGUAUGUUGUCCAUUGACGGCAUCCGAUUUGGACGAAAGGCUUUGCGGUGAAGGAUGGGGAUGCGUCCGAUUAGCCAGACGGCGGGGUAACGGCCCACCGUGGCUACGAUCGGUAGGGGUUCUGAGAGGAAGGUCCCCCACACUGGAACUGAGACACGGUCCAGACUCCUACGGGAGGCAGCAGUGAGGAAUAUUGGUCAAUGGGCGUAAGCCUGAACCAGCCAAGUAGCGUGCAGGAUGACGGCCCUAUGGGUUGCAAACUGCUUUUAUGCGGGGAUAAAGUGGCCCACGUGUGGGCUUUUGCAGGUACCGCAUGAAUAAGGACCGGCUAAUUCCGU
rnacentral:rRNA from 1 species